CUGUACACUCCAUGUUGGCUUCCUCUUCUCCCAGGGUUAGUUUCUGACUGUACGCUCCAUGUUGGCUUCCUCUUCUCCCAGGGUUAGUUUCUGACUGUACGCUCCAUGUUGGCUUCCUCUUCUCCCAGGGUUAGUUUCUGACUGUACGCUCCAUGCUGGCUUCCUCUUCUCCCAGGGUUAGUUUCUGACUGUACGCUCCAUGUUAGCUUCCUCUUCUCCCAGGGUUAGUUUCUGACUGUACGCUCCAUUUUGGCUUCCUCUUCUCCCAGGGUUAGUUUCUGACUGUUCCUCUCCAUGUUGGCUUCCUCUUCUCCCAGGGUUAGUUUCUGACUGUUCCUCUCCAUGCUGGCUUCCUCUUCUCCCAGGGUUAGUUUCUGACUGUACGCUCCAUGUUGGCUUCCUCUUCUCCCAGGGUUAGUUUCUGACUGUACGCUCCAUGCUGGCUUCCUCGUUUUAUAUUUCUAAAAUUAACAAAAUGUUGACUUGUCUUUACUAGGUCACACAGAGGGCAGGGCUUCACCAACUGACAGGCUGAACUUGUCGUAUUAUUAUUCAUUGUUGUACAUAAAGACUGUAAAAACACCAAGUAUUCCCACGUAAGAUGUGAUCGUAAUGUGUUAGUCAAACUCUGUUUGCAAAACAACAACAACAACAACCCAGUCUAGAAAGUAAUUCUCCUGACUUAUGACCCCUGGAACAAUCCAGCUUUCCCAUCAAGGAAAAACCCCAAGAUCAGCAUGGAGAGGCAACUCCAGCCUUCAACCGUUGGGAACCGGCUCACGUUUUAAACCCCUGCUAUUUUCUACUGUAAAGGUUAACAGAUAUGGUGCUUGUUUUGGGUGUUCAGUUGUGAAAUGUGCAUAUAACUUGUUUUUAUAUAGAAAAAAAAAAAAACAUUUGUCAUCGACUUCGUACUUUUUGUGUUCUAAAUAACAUGAUCUUUGAAAAUGAUAAAAUCAUUUGGUUUAU